rnacentral:rRNA from 1 species
UAGGGAAUCUUCGGCAAUGGACGAAAGUCUGACCGAGCAACGCCGCGUGAGUGAAGAAGGUUUUCGGAUCGUAAAACUCUGUUGUUAGAGAAGAACAAGGACGUUAGUAACUGAACGUCCCCUGACGGUAUCUAACCAGAAAGCCACGGCUAACUACGUGCCAGCAGCCGCGGUAAUACGUAGGUGGCAAGCGUUGUCCGGAUUUAUUGGGCGUAAAGCGAGCGCAGGCGGUUUCUUAAGUCUGAUGUGAAAGCCCCCGGCUCAACCGGGGGGGGUCAAUGGAAACUUGGGGACUUGGGUGGAGAAGAGGGGAGUGGAAUUCCAUGGGUAGCGGGGAAAUGCGGAGAUAUGAGGGGGAACCACAGGGGCGGAGGCGGCCUUCUGGGAUGUAAACGACGGUGAGGGUUGGAAGGGGGGGGAGCAAACAGG